rnacentral:ncRNA from 1 species
CCUUUGGAGUGUUACAACAAACGAAAGUAGCUAAUGCGAAAUCGGACACUGAGAAGAAGGAA